GCAGUUGUUCUGCGCGCAGCCUGAUCAGCCAUGCCGCGUGAGUGAAGAAGGCCUUCGGGUUGUAAAGCUCUUUCAGCCGGAACGAAACGGUCACGGCUAAUACCCGUGAUUACUGACGGUACCGGAAGAAGAAGCACCGGCUAACUACGUGCCAGCAGCCGCGGUAAUUGCC
rnacentral:rRNA from 1 species